CGCAUGAGAGUCUGACGGAGCACGCCGCGUGAGUGAUGAAGGUUUUCGGAUCGUAAAGCUCUGUUGUUAGGGAAGAACAAGUGCGAGAGUAACUGCUCGCACCUUGACGGUACCUAACCAGAAAGCCACGGCUAACUACGUGCCAGCAGCCGCGGUAAUACGUAGGUGGCAAGCGUUGUCCGGAAUUAUUGGGCGUAAAGGGCUCGCAGGCGGUUUCUUAAGUCUGAUGUGAAAGCCCCCGGCUCAACCGGGGAGGGUCAUUGGAAACUGGGAAACUUGAGUGCAGAAGAGGAGAGUGGAAUUCCACGUGUAGCGGUGAAAUGCGUAGAGAUGUGGAGGAACACCAGUGGCGAAGGCGACUCUCUGGUCUGUAACUGACGCUGAGGAGCGAAAGCGUGGGGAGCGAACAGGAUUAGAUACCCUGGUAGUCCACGCCGUAAACGAUGAGUGCUAAGUGUUAGGGGGUUUCCGCCCCUUAGUGCUGCAGCUAACGCAUUAAGCACUCCGCCUGGGGAGUACGGUCGCAAGACUGAAACUCAAAGGAAUUGACGGGGGCCCGCACAAGCGGUGGAGCAUGUGGUUUAAUUCGAAGCAACGCGAAGAACCUUACCAGGUCUUGACAUCCUCUGACAACCCUAGAGAUAGGGCUUUCCCUUCGGGGACAGAGUGACAGGUGUGCAUGGUUGUCGUCAGCUCGUGU
rnacentral:rRNA from 1 species